AUUGAACGCUGGCGGCAUGCCUUACACAUGCAAGUCGAACGGCAGCACGGGUGCUUGCACCUGGUGGCGAGUGGCGAACGGGUGAGUAAUGCAUCGGAACGUGCCCAGUCGUGGGGGAUAACGCAGCGAAAGUUGUGCUAAUACCGCAUACGUCCUGAGGGAGAAAGCAGGGGAUCUUCGGACCUUGUGCGAUUGGAGCGGCCGAUGUCAGAUUAGCUAGUUGGUGAGGUAAAAGCUCACCAAGGCGGCGAUCUGUAGCUGGUCUGAGAGGAUGAUCAGCCACACUGGAACUGAGACACGGUCCAGACUCCUACGGGAGGCAGCAGUGGGGAAUUUUGGACAAUGGGGGCAACCCUGAUCCAGCCAUGCCGCGUGAGUGAAGAAGGCCUUCGGGUUGUAAAGCCCUUUCGGCCGGGAAGAAAUCGUGCAGGCUAAUACCCUGUAUGGAUGACGGUACCGGAAUAAGAAGCACCGGCUAACUACGUGCCAGCAGCCGCGGUAAGAC
rnacentral:rRNA from 1 species